rnacentral:rRNA from 1 species
AAAUGACGGUACCUGACUAAGAAGCACCGGCUAACUAUGUGCCAGCAGCCGCGGUAAUACAUAGGGUGCAAGCGUUGUCCGGAAUUAUUGGGCGUAAAGAGCUCGUAGGUGGUUCGUUACGUCGGAUGUGAAAACCUGAGGCUCAACCUCAGGCCUGCAUUCGAUACGGGCGAACUUGAGUGUGGUAGGGGAGGCUGGAAUUCCUGGUGUAGCGGUGGAAUGCGCAGAUAUCAGGAGGAACACCAAUGGCGAAGGCAGGCCUCUGGGCCACUACUGACACUGAGGAGCGAAAGCGUGGGGAGCAAACAGGAUUAGAUACCCUGGUAGUCCACGCUGUAAACGGUGGGCACUAGUUGUGGGAACCUUCCACGGUUUCUGCGACGCAGCAAACGCAUUAAGUGCCCCGCCUGGGGAGUACGAUCGCAAGAAUGAAACUCAAAGAAGGGCGAAUUUCGCG